rnacentral:rRNA from 1 species
UACGUAGGUGGCAAGCGUUUGUCCGGAUUUAUUGGGUUUAAAGGGUGCGUAGGCGGUCCCAUAAGUCAGUGGUGAAAUACUCUAGCUUAACUAGAGGGGUGCCAUUGAUACUGUGGGACUUGAGUAGAGUUGAAGUGGGCGGAAUUGACGGUGUAGCGGUGAAAUGCUUAGAUAUCGUCAAGAACACCGAUAGUGAAGACAGCUCACUAAGCUCAAACUGACGCUGAGGCACGAAAGUGUGGGGAUCAAACAGG